ACCUCAUUGCUGUGGAAUGUUAGACAAAAGCGGGGAGGAUGGGAAAAUCUACAAAGCCAUGGAAACUAAAUAUAAAGGCAAUGAUACUGCAUCUUCAAAUGUAAGUAGGACAGGAGAAACACAGAGUUUAUGGCUUCAGGAAGAUGCAUAUGCCUGUCCAGAAGUGGGGAGCUCAACGUUAGACAACAGAAUCACCAGUCUCACAACAUAAGUGAAAUUUCUGUGUGGGGUAACACAUACCUUUAGUCCCAGCAUCCAGAAGGCAGAAGCAGGUGGAUCUCUGUGAGUUCCAGGCCUGCCGGAGCUACACUCUGAGGCCCUGAGAGUUCCAGGGGACAGAGUCUAUCAUGGUGGGGAAGGCAUGGCAUGAUGGCAGGAGCAGGAAGCUGGUUGAGCACGCUUCAUCCACAUCUGGAAGCAGAGGAAGCAGGAAGAAGGGUGACACUAUCAAACCUCAAAGCCUACCUUCAGUGACAAGCUUAACCCAGCAAGGCAGUACCUUCUCAAAGUUCCAUAGCCUCCCGGAACAGUGCCAUCAGCUGAGGACAAAGUGUCCAAAGAUACAAGCCUAUGGAGGACAAUGAGGCUGAGGAAGAAGGAUCAGAAGUGUGAGGCCACCCUGGCUAGUGAGUCCCUGUCUCAGAGGCAACGGUAACAAUGAAAAUGCGCUCAUCGAAGAGUCGAUUCUGUGCAUGCAAGUUCCCUCUCCCUCUUUUGUUCUACACAGCCUCUCGCUUAUCACAUGGUGCCCACAUUUGAGGCAGGAUUUCGCCUUCAGCUCACUGACCCACGUGCCAAUCUUCUCUGGAAACAACCUUACAGAUACACUCAGAAUUGAACUUGACUAACUUUGUAGGCAUCUCUCAACCCAGCUAGACUGACAACCAAGAUCUGUCAUCACACACAGUCACAGAAAGGCAGACUCAGUUCCUUUAACACGUAGACCAUCAGGACGCAUCAUGCUGGGCGAUGCUGGCUUUAUCUUGAGUAAGCAUCAUCUGUUCCCCUCUGUUAGUUACAUCAAUGGUCACUAACUUUGCUGCAGUAUGGAUUAAAUCUCACUGGUUUCAAUGGGCUGAAGAUAACCUGCGUGUGGCUAUGAAGUGCUUUGUUGGGGUUAGCUCAGUUCUAGAACAAGGAAUUGCCUUCUGGAUCCACUCUGCUUACUCUGAGGUCUCUCCGUUCAUGUCCCAGAAAAGCUGAGGGUCUUUGGAAGACCAAAGAAGAUGAUGGGAAAGGUGACCUGCUCCACCCCCACUUUGGUGGAACCACACAGGUACAGGAGACCCAAGCUGGAAAUCCUGCCCAACUGUUGAGCUGUGACAUUCAAAUUUUCACUCUUUUGAGUCUGGUGAGGGACUGCCCAUUUCUCCCAAAUCCAAAUGCCAAUCUAUAACCAACACUCAAUGAAGGCUUGAGCUGAGAUGAAAUGCUUUUCAGGCCGCUGCCCUAGAAUCCCAAGGCCAAGUUGGCUGAAUAAACAAGGGUAGCCUGGUAUUCAAAACUACAGAACUCCCUGAACUGUAAUGAGUGGCUUUUGGAGGUUCAAAUGGAAAAUGCCAUGACGGUUCGUUUUGUCUCGGGAAAUCAAAGUGCCCCUUGUUUGAGAAAUACUGGAACGAAGGUUUUUGCUAUCACUAAAGUGGGCUGGAAAUGACAGAGUUAAUGAAGCUGCAAUCUCGAAGCUCUAAACAAACUGGAGCUUUUGAUUGUAUUUCCACCUGCACACCUGAUCCCUGGACUCAUUCGGCCGUGUUUGCUCAGAACGUUGAGUGGCAGCAGAGCUCUUGGUGUCUCUCUCCCACACUGUGAGCAGAUACGUCUACCGCCUCACCCACACAGCUGGCCUGUUCACUGCCUGACUCUAAAGGAACUCUAGCUUUUAAGAGCCUGCUUUCUUUUCUUUUCAUUCUCAAAUCCUGCUCUUAGUAAAUCCCAAGCUCAAACAAAUAUGAUGUCAUCCUGAGGCACAGAGGGGCUGGUACACAUGCCUUGUUAAUAACAGUGGAAACAGGAGGCCAUGAAAGUCAACAUUUUACCAUCUGAGACCUGUUCAUAAUUUGCUCCUUUGCUUAGAGAAACAAGUGUCAUCAAGGUUAUCCUUAAAACUUCCCAGUAGUGCAUGGCCCAGUUGGAAAGAGGGGUGCAAACUCCGGAUAGCAUUUGAGGCUCUUCUGCCCUUUGGAACCACGUUAAAGUUGUUGUAAGAUAAAAUACACUGUCCACAGUUUCUUCACCCUCAGAAAGUCAGUGAAUGUAGUAAUUGCUUUCCUUCUUCCCUCCUUUCUUCCUUCCUCUUUCUUUCCUUCUUCCUUCCUUUCUUCCUUUCUCUCCCUCUCCCUUUCUCUCUCUCCCUUCCUUCCCUCAUUCUUCCCUCCAUCCCUCCCUUAAUUCCCUUCUUCCUUUGUUUUGAAACAGGUUCUUACACUAGCUAUGUAGCUUACAAUGGUCUGAAACACUCAGUUCUCCUGAUUCUCUAGUCCCUGGGCUGCCAGUACCAGCACACUAUAGGUUUGUCACAAAUAUUCAACUUCAGACCCUAUCCCAGACUCGCCAAAUUCAAGGAUGGGGAAUACGGGAGGGACGGGUGCUUAGCAUAGAAUGAAUUCCUUCCAGGUGACUCUAAUUGUUGGGUCAAGUUUGAAGUACAUUCAAGUUUAUUAAUUCACAGUGCAAAAGGCCACCUGGUAUCUGAAUAUGUAUCAGCCACAUCCAUGCUUACUGAUGAGCUAGAGAAGCCAGGAGGCCUCUGAGGCACCUGAAUUGUAUUCUAGCAUUUUUAUCAUGCCUCAGAAAUGCAAAGACAAAUAAAUUGGCCUCUUGAUUCAAAAGUCAUAAAAUCAGCUGUGUGUCACAUAAAGUCAUGCAAAUAAACCUCUGCAGGUGAUUUUGUUGUUGUUACUUAUGAUAAGAAACUCAAUAUACUAAGCUUUCUCCUUUUCAGUUACAUAUGAGAAACAUUGUUAUAAGCCAGGGAGUUAUUUUUAGUCAAAGGACAGACAUGAAACUACAGAACAACUUGUUUUCUUAAACGAUGGAAACUUUCAUUACAUUUUCUCUGUACCUAGCCUACUCCUUAGUCUAAAGUAGAUGUUUAAUAAAUAUUUUCUCAAAGUGAGGCAAAUGUAUUUAGUGGCAAAGAAGGGAGAGAGUGAGAGUGAUAGAGAAAACAGAAGGAAAUAUAAACAUGUGAUACAGAGAAAAGACUUUAAAAAGAUAGAGACAGCCCCCCAUGUCUGUAGGUCCAGCAUCCAUGGACUUAUCCACGCACUAAUAGAAAACCCUUGCACUUAUUGAACAUGUACAGACCUUUUUCUUGUCACCAUUCCCUACCAAAUACAGAAUAACACCUAUUUUCAUAUUACAUACCACAAAUCAUCAAAAGAUGAUUUUAAGUAUAAAGAAGGAUUACAGAGGAUCCACAUUCUAUGCCGUUUUAAUAAGGUACCAGAGCCCCUGAGAUGUGGUAAACCCUCAAGGGGUCCUAGAGUCAAACAUUCAUGGAGACUGAGGCUUGGCUAUUCAGAGAGGAGACAUCAGGUGCAGAGGGAAAAGAGACAAAAGAUGAUACUUUAAGAAACAAAGAACUAAAUCAGUUUAUAAAUUAUAGAAGACUCAAGACCUUCAGUUUUAAUGACAUAGCCACUAGGAAACAGACUAUUUCCUCUUUCAAUAUUAUCUAUCAAAAUCCUCGCCUCCAAAUGCAGGCCAAGUGUCAAGGACUCGGAAGCGGACUCUUAGAGAUGACUCUGCCUGUUCUGGUCUCAUUAUAAAACGUCUCCUGUGGGCUCGGAUGUUUGAACACUUGUCUCCAGCGAGCGGUGCCAUCGUGGAAGGGUGUGGAACUUUCAGGAGACGGAGCUUCUCCAACAGAAUGCGCCUAGAAGUUUGAUAGCACAGCCCUAACUUCCUGAACUCAUUCACUUGCCACUGCAGACACAGCGAGACCCGCCACCUCGUUCUCCGCCACCAUGUCUUCCUGACCAGGGCAGACCGUUUGCUCUCCUCAACUGUGAACCCUCUCUCCAUGAAGUUGCUUCUUGUCAGACAUCAGGUCCAGAGAUGAGAAAAGGAACCUCCUUGGUUGGAAGAAUUCUUUUUCUGGGAUAGGCCUGUGUGGAUCUGGUGAAGAAACUAAAGAUAAGAAGAUAAAAAAAGACAAUGAUACCAGAUCGCUCCUAGCUGAGGGGUUCAAAUCAAUGUCCAAUGCAAAACCAAAAGAACUUUCUAUUGUGUGGUGUGGCACUGUUCACUCACUUUGGAAUCCUUACAGCUGAAGCUAAUUUUGAUCUUUCUGCCUCAGUACUGGGAUUAUAGCUCUCAAACAGCUCAUAAUUGGCUGCACAGAAACCAAACUGCAAAGGGACAGCUCUCACGUUGAGUGUGUCAUAAAAAGCCAAAGUCAUCCUGAAGACCAAGUACUACCUAUCAGUGGAAUGGGGACAAGUGACUUCUGACCUCUGACAUCACUGCCACUGGGGAGUUUGGGCCACAGCUGUGAUUUCCAUCAGCACUCACUGUCUUCCACAAAGGGCUAGGGGCAGCUCUUGCCUAAAGUGAUGAAGUGGUGUUCAAAGGACUUUGAGAUGAAAGGGCCUUUGGAAUCCAAAGGCUCACUGUGGAAGUAGAUCCUCUUUUAUAUGGUACUAGCAAAUGACCUGCCCUUGGCCUUUUAAAGUGUUACUUCCAAUCUGUCAAGAAACCGAAGAGGAGACACAGCAGGUGAGACCACCAGAUGUGACAAAAACAAACUCUUUUAGAGCCUAAACUAGGAGUUAUAUCACUGACAAGAAUGAAUGAGUCUUCUCUGAGAGUUUUCUGACUGAACUGGAGAAACUGGAGAAGCCCUCGUUGGGAGCUUUUUGUAACAGGACAACAGAGAUGAGAAUGCUGCAUUAAGCUUAGCAUAUAAAAGCUACCAACUGAUAGAGAAGUUCUUCACCUGGGCUUCAUGUAACCAACAGCAAGCUUAAGACAAGCCUGACGUGUGUGAGAAUGGCAGGGGCGUGUGAGCGUCCCACAGUGCUUCCUGGCCCAGCGCUCUUGGAGCCCUUCUAGAGCUAUGGACCACUCCUUACCCCUUAGCUCUCUUGCUCACUUGUCAAUAACUAUCUACAUUUCUGUUUCUAACCACA